GCCCGUUGGUGUGCGGCACGCUGCGGUCCGUACCCGGCCCGGGGCCCGCGCCCGCGCCCGGGUGGAAGCGGGCCUUGGCGUAGUUGCUCACGAACUGGUCCUGCAGGAAAGAGCCGGCCAUGGCGUAGCGGGCCCCGGGCACGAUCUGCGAGCGCGGCGAGUCGUUGGGCGAGGGGGUCAGGCGGUCCAUGUCACAGCCGGUGUAGAUCCUGCGGGAUUGUUUCAGAAACCCCUAGGAAAAAGCCGCGCACGCAGUAAUCAUCAAAGACGGGCCUUCACCCGUGUUCUGGAACCCGAGGUUUGCUGCUGGAAGCCUCCAAGGUACUUAGUGUCUAUUGUUUCCCCUGUGUGAAACUUUCACUCCCACCUCUACUAAUACAAACAAGAAUUACUACUCUGAAA
rnacentral:antisense_RNA from 1 species